rnacentral:rRNA from 1 species
GAUGAACGCUGGCGGCGUGCUUAACACAUGCAAGUCGAACGGAGAGCUAUUGACGGAGUUUUCGGACAACGGAUAUAGUUUCUUAGUGGCGGACGGGUGAGUAACGCGUGAGGAACCUGCCUUGGAGAGGGGAAUAACACAGAGAAAUUUGUGCUAAUACCGCAUAAGACCACGAGGCCGCAUGGCCUUGAGGUAAAAGGAGCAAUCCGGUUUGGGGUGAGCUCGCGUCCCAUUAGCUAGUUGGUGAGGUAACGGCUCACCAAGGCGACGAUGGGUAGCCGGCCUGAGAGGGCGACCGGCCACAUUGGGACUGAGACACGGCCCAG